rnacentral:rRNA from 1 species
GAGUGAACGCUGGCGGUAGGCCUAACACAUGCAAGUCGAACGGCAGCACAGUAAGAGCUUGCUCUUACGGGUGGCGAGUGGCGGACGGGUGAGGAAUACAUCGGAAUCUACUUUUUCGUGGGGGAUAACGUAGGGAAACUUACGCUAAUACCGCAUACGACCUACGGGUGAAAGCAGGGGAUCUUCGGACCUUGCGCGAUUGAAUGAGCCGAUGUCGGAUUAGCUAGUUGGCGGGGUAAAGGCCCACCAAGGCGACGAUCCGUAGCUGGUCUGAGAGGAUGAUCAGCCACACUGGAACUGAGACACGGUCCAGACUCCUACGGGAGGCAGCAGUGGGGAAUAUUGGACAAUGGGCGCAAGCCUGAUCCAGCCAUACCGCGUGGGUGAAGAAGGCCUUCGGGUUGUAAAGCCCUUUUGUUGGGAAAGAAAAGCAGCAGGUUAAUACCCCGCUGUUCUGACCGUACCCAAAGAAUAAGCACCGGCUAACUUCGUG